GGUAUUUUAAUAUGUAAAAUUGUGUUAGUUGGCAUGCAAUUAGUAUAUAGUUAUGUUAUAGACCAUAAUUUAUGACUCAUGCAUGCAUGCAAAAACAAGAAAAUAAAAUGAGAAACAUAGUAUGUUAAGAAUAUAGGUUGUUUUUUCAUGGAUUUAGAGUAAUGAUUUGUAGUUUUAAAAAAAAAAUGACCAGAGAGUUAAAAC
rnacentral:lncRNA from 1 species